rnacentral:rRNA from 1 species
GGUUAAGCGACUAAGCGUACACGGUGGAUGCCCUGGCAGUCAGAGGCGAUGAAGGACGUGCUAAUCUGCGAUAAGCGUCGGUAAGGUGAUAUGAACCGUUAUAACCGGCGAUUUCCGAAUGGGGAAACCCAGUGUGAUUCGUCACACUAUCAUUAACUGAAUCCAUAGGUUAAUGAGGCGAACCGGGGGAACUGAAACAUCUAAGUACCCCGAGGAAAAGAAAUCAACCGAGAUUCCCCCAGUAGCGGCGAGCGAACGGGGAGCAGCCCAGAGCCUGAAUCAGUGUGUGUGUUAGUGGAAGCGUCUGGAAAGGCGCGCGAUACAGGGUGACAGCCCCGUACACAAAAAUGCACAUGCUGUGAGCUCGAUGAGUAGGGCGGGACACGUGGUAUCCUGUCUGAAUAUGGGGGGACCAUCCUCCAAGGCUAAAUACUCCUGACUGACCGAUAGUGAACCAGUACCGUGAGGGAAAGGCGAAAAGAACCCCGGCGAGGGGAGUGAAAAAGAACCUGAAACCGUGUACGUACAAGCAGUGGGAGCCUCUUUAUGGGGUGACUGCGUACCUUUUGUAUAAUGGGUCAGCGACUUAUAUUCUGUAGCAAGGUUAACCGAAUAGGGGAGCCGAAGGGAAACCGAGUCUUAACUGGGCGUUAAGUUGCAGGGUAUAGACCCGAAACCCGGUGAUCUAGCCAUGGGCAGGUUGAAGGUUGGGUAACACUAACUGGAGGACCGAACCGACUAAUGUUGAAAAAUUAGCGGAUGACUUGUGGCUGGGGGUGAAAGGCCAAUCAAACCGGGAGAUAGCUGGUUCUCCCCGAAAGCUAUUUAGGUAGCGCCUCGUGAACUCAUCUCCGGGGGUAGAGCACUGUUUCGGCAAGGGGGUCAUCCCGACUUACCAACCCGAUGCAAACUGCGAAUACCGGAGAAUGUUAUCACGGGAGACACACGGCGGGUGCUAACGUCCGUCGUGAAGAGGGAAACAACCCAGACCGCCAGCUAAGGUCCCAAAGUCAUGGUUAAGUGGGAAACGAUGUGGGAAGGCCCAGACAGCCAGGAUGUUGGCUUAGAAGCAGCCAUCAUUUAAAGAAAGCGUAAUAGCUCACUGGUCGAGUCGGCCUGCGCGGAAGAUGUAACGGGGCUAAACCAUGCACCGAAGCUGCGGCAGCGACGCUGAUGCGUUGUUGGGUAGGGGAGCGUUCUGUAAGCCUGUGAAGGUGUGCUGUGAGGCAUGCUGGAGGUAUCAGAAGUGCGAAUGCUGACAUAAGUAACGAUAAAGCGGGUGAAAAGCCCGCUCGCCGGAAGACCAAGGGUUCCUGUCCAACGUUAAUCGGGGCAGGGUGAGUCGACCCCUAAGGCGAGGCCGAAAGGCGUAGUCGAUGGGAAACAGGUUAAUAUUCCUGUACUUGGUGUUACUGCGAAGGGGGGACGGAGAAGGCUAUGUUGGCCGGGCGACGGUUGUCCCGGUUUAAGCGUGUAGGCUGGUUUUCCAGGCAAAUCCGGAAAAUCAAGGCUGAGGCGUGAUGACGAGGCACUACGGUGCUGAAGCAACAAAUGCCCUGCUUCCAGGAAAAGCCUCUAAGCAUCAGGUAACAUCAAAUCGUACCCCAAACCGACACAGGUGGUCAGGUAGAGAAUACCAAGGCGCUUGAGAGAACUCGGGUGAAGGAACUAGGCAAAAUGGUGCCGUAACUUCGGGAGAAGGCACGCUGAUAUGUAGGUGAAGUCCCUCGCGGAUGGAGCUGAAAUCAGUCGAAGAUACCAGCUGGCUGCAACUGUUUAUUAAAAACACAGCACUGUGCAAACACGAAAGUGGACGUAUACGGUGUGACGCCUGCCCGGUGCCGGAAGGUUAAUUGAUGGGGUCAGCGCAAGCGAAGCUCUUGAUCGAAGCCCCGGUAAACGGCGGCCGUAACUAUAACGGUCCUAAGGUAGCGAAAUUCCUUGUCGGGUAAGUUCCGACCUGCACGAAUGGCGUAAUGAUGGCCAGGCUGUCUCCACCCGAGACUCAGUGAAAUUGAACUCGCUGUGAAGAUGCAGUGUACCCGCGGCAAGACGGAAAGACCCCGUGAACCUUUACUAUAGCUUGACACUGAACAUUGAGCCUUGAUGUGUAGGAUAGGUGGGAGGCUUAGAAGUGUGGACGCCAGUCUGCAUGGAGCCGACCUUGAAAUACCACCCUUUAAUGUUUGAUGUUCUAACGUUGACCCGUAAUCCGGGUUGCGGACAGUGUCUGGUGGGUAGUUUGACUGGGGCGGUCUCCUCCUAAAGAGUAACGGAGGAGCACGAAGGUUGGCUAAUCCUGGUCGGACAUCAGGAGGUUAGUGCAAUGGCAUAAGCCAGCUUGACUGCGAGCGUGACGGCGCGAGCAGGUGCGAAAGCAGGUCAUAGUGAUCCGGUGGUUCUGAAUGGAAGGGCCAUCGCUCAACGGAUAAAAGGUACUCCGGGGAUAACAGGCUGAUACCGCCCAAGAGUUCAUAUCGACGGCGGUGUUUGGCACCUCGAUGUCGGCUCAUCACAUCCUGGGGCUGAAGUAGGUCCCAAGGGUAUGGCUGUUCGCCAUUUAAAGUGGUACGCGAGCUGGGUUUAGAACGUCGUGAGACAGUUCGGUCCCUAUCUGCCGUGGGCGCUGGAGAACUGAGGGGGGCUGCUCCUAGUACGAGAGGACCGGAGUGGACGCAUCACUGGUGUUCGGGUUGUCAUGCCAAUGGCACUGCCCGGUAGCUAAAUGCGGAAGAGAUAAGUGCUGAAAGCAUCUAAGCACGAAACUUGCCCCGAGAUGAGUUCUCCCUGACUCCUUGAGAGUCCUGAAGGAACGUUGAAGACGACGACGUUGAUAGGCCGGGUGUGUAAGCGCAGCGAUGCGUUGAGCUAACCGGUACUAAUGAACCGUGAGGCUUAACCUU